GUUAAUAAGACCCUGCCUAAAAGAAACGAGCAUGUACUUCCAGAGAUAUGUAUUGUUUGUGGAAGAGAUUCCUCUUAGUUCUCACUAGACAAGGUGACUAAGAAGAGAAGAAGAACCCCACUCAUGUUGGCAGAAACAAUUGAUGCUGGUCUUCUACGUACAGCUGCCGAGAGAAAGAAUGAUGAACGGAUACUCGUGUAAAUCCGGGGGAAAGACUGUGUAGCACUGGAAGUCCGCUAUCACAAAGUUUGCUACUGCAAUCAUACAAAUUUUCUCACCAGAGAGACAAAGAAGCAAUUGGAGACUGAAAGAUCUACAGUGUACGAGAAGUCUUAUGAUGUCUUCUGUAAGAAAGUAAUCGAGACUGAGGUCAUCGCAAAUAAGCAAAUAAGGUACAUGAAAGAUUGCUGGAGAAAUUUGUUAUCAUUGCUAAGGACACCGAGAAUGUGGAUGCAUCUAAAUAUAGAGCUUUUAAACUCAAGCAACGACUGAUGAAAAGUUAUCCCCAACUUGUGUUCUAUGUACCGAAAAUGAGAAAUGUUAGUGAGAUUGUAUAUGUGGAAAAUUUGGAUUCUUCCGAAUUGGUUGAGGAACAUAUGUCAAACAAGUCAGAAAACAACGAUGAAGACUUUGAUGAAGAGAGCUAUACCGGUACCAUUGAUGAUGAUGAUCUGAAUUCCAACACAGAAACUGAGGGAAAUUCUAAAGUCAAUGAGUUACAAAUUCUAUACAAUGCUGCAUUGAUUCUUUGCCAAAAGGUCCAAGAUAUACCAAAACUGAAUCUUCCUUGGCCACCAUUGGCAUCUGAUUUGACAAUAGAUAAUGUGCAAAAAGUGGUUCCAUGUGAACUUUUUAAUGUAUUGGCUUGGACUUGUGGAUUCUCUUCAGAGCCAACUUUAAGCUUUGUUAGUGAUGUUCCAACUACUCUUGCAUGGGAUAAUGCGUUUGGCCAAGGCUAUAUUUAAGCGAAAUAUUUAACUUGUUUCUUGAUUGUGUGAGUUGUAUGUAUAUUUAUAUAUUCUCCGUCCUGUUUGAUACAGGUGGGUUUUUUACCUCACAAAUUUUUAUUGAAUUAAGAUGUUAAUAAGUAGAAUUAUACGUUAAAACGGUAUUUUGAAACAAUAGCCAAUAAAUUGAAGUGAUUUAGCAUAUGAGCAAGCAAAAUGUACAAUGUGUUUUAACAAUA